GAUGAACGCUGGCGGCGUGCCUAAUACAUGCAAGUCGAACGAACGGACGAUAAGCUUGCUUCUUUCAUGUUUGCGGAGGAGGGGUGUGUAACACGUGUAUAAUGCACCUAUAAUACUGGUAACAUUUCGGGAAACCGUCUCUUAUACCAGAUGAUAUUUUGAACCGCAUGGUUCGAAAGUGAAAUACGGUCUUGCUGUCUGUUAUAGCUGCUUCCGAGCUUCAUUAGCUAGUUGGGGAGGUAACGGCUUACCAAGGCAACGAGUCAUAGCCGACCUGAGAGGGUGGUCGCCCACCAGGGAACUGAGCCACGGUCCAGACUCCUACGGGAGGCAGCAGUAGGGAAUCUUCCGCAAUGGGCGAAAGCAUGACGGAGCAACGCCGCGUGAGUGAUGAAGGUCUUCGGAUCGUAAAACUCUGUUAUUAGGGAAGAACAGAUGUGUAAGUAACUGUGCACAUCGUGACGGUACCUAAUCAGAAAGCCACGGCUAACUACGUG
rnacentral:rRNA from 1 species